UACGGAGGGUGCGAGCGUUGUUCGGAAUUACUGGGCGUAAAGCGCGUGUAGGCGGCCUUCUAAGUCUGGUGUGAAAGCCCGGGGCUCAACCCCGGAAGUGCAUUGGAUACUGGGAGGCUGGAGUACCGGAGAGGAGGGUGGAAUGCUUGGUGUAGAGGUGAAAUUCGUAGAUAUCAAGCGGAACACCGGUGGCGAAGGCGGCCUUCUGGACAGUGACUGACGCUGAGACGCGAAAGCGUGGGGAGCAAACAGG
rnacentral:rRNA from 1 species